UAGGGUUUAGCAAUAGACCCAAAAGUGGCGCACGGGAGAGUAACACGUGGAUAAUCUCCCCUCGAGAGAUGAACAACCAGUCGAAAGAUUGGCUAAUACAUCGUAAGACCACAGAGGCUAAGGCCUCAGAGGUAAAAGUCGUAAGACGCUUGAGGAUGAGUCUGCGUCCCAUUAGCUAGUUGGUAAGGUAAUGGCUUACCAAGGCGACGAUGAGUAGCUGGUCUGAGAGGAUGAUCAGCCUCACUGGAACUGACACACGGUCCAGACUCCUACGGGAGGCAGCAGUAGGGAAUAUUGCACAAUGGAGGAAACUCUGAUGCAGCGACGCCGCGUGAGUGAUGAAGGACUUCGGU
rnacentral:rRNA from 1 species